CUGUCUACGUUCAUAACAAUUUAGUUGUAUUUAUACAUUUCAGACAAUUCGACUCAACUUUUGUGGAAAAUAAAUUCUUAUUUUGUAAACCGUUAAAUGUUUAUUGAAAUUUAUUGAAGUUACAGUCCUCCGAUUUAGAACUUGGAACGUCCUUUUAUCACAUUAACAUAUUUUAAAUUUAUUACUUUAACAAAUGCAAUAAACCACUCUUUCACUAUUUUCAGUAACCGAAAUCAUUAAAAAUUUAACGGAAAAGAAGAAACCCGACUUUCCUUCACUGCGAAAAUUACGCGAAAAUAAUGUGGAAUACAGCAAACAUAAAUAAUAUCACAUAAAUUCCAAACUAUAGUACGAGUAUACCCCCCAAUAACGAAAAAGGGAUACGAGAAACGCUUGUCAAGGAACCGCCAAAUGAAAUGUCACUGAUCCAUGCGAUGACACAAAUUACGCCGGAACGCGCAUAACUCAAAACAAUGUGAAGGAGGAGGCAGCCAACAAACGGCAGUCGGCAGUUGGCAGGCGACACUGCUUGAAAGCAGGGGCUGAAAAUCCAAAUGAGCGAAACGGAAAAAAACACACACAAAACGAUGAUGAUUUAUAAUUAGGCGAAUCCUUUGUAUGUAAUAACCGAGGCGGAAUUUUGCGGCAAAAUCACAAACGUUGACGUAUUACUUACACGCUUGAUGCGAUAUGUCUCAAUUUUGAUGAGUUGCGACGGAAACAACUGACUGGUGUUUACAACCACAUGAGAGUGUGUCUCUAAAGAUAAGUACGCUAAGCGGCAGCAAUAAAAAGUGGAAAAGCAAAUAAAAGCGGUUUCCACGGAUAUUAACUAACUGAGUCAAUUCGGAACUACAUAAAAAGCUGAGCUAAAGGCAUACAACAGCAACAGUACUGCAAUAAUAACUCAGUCAAUUACAAAUUGCGGUGAAAUAAAAAGCAAAUUAAAUACGAAUACGAAACAAAACACUAUGCCUGGCAGAUGCUUAUAAAUAAGCACAAACACAUAUGAGUGUCUGUGGCAUAAAAAACUCUAUCCAAACGAUAGCAGCACAAAAUAAAUCUGUCACAUCACAAGUGAUGCCAAUUUGUCACCAAACUUCAAACAUCACCCUAUCGCAAGCGCACACAAGUAGUAGCUAUAGUGAUCACAUCACUGACAUAAAAAACCACAAGCAACAUUAUAGCCGCUGUGGGGCCGCUCUGAGGGAUUGUUGUCUGUCAAAAUAAUGUGGGAUCGCAUAAAAAACGUGUGCGCCACAGAAAUUGCUACCCUUUAACUGAAGCUACUCAAUGAAAUGAACAAACAUAAACGCAGAGACCGAAAAACGCGUGGUACAACAACAACAACAACAAACAUAGAGUCACUGCCAGCGAAUGCGCCAAAGGAAGAUAAACGUAUAAUAAAAAGUGAAAUAUCAAGUGGGGAGUAGUAAAAAAAAAACAGAAACACACACACAAACAUACUCGAAACUGUCUGUAUAGCACCGAGAAGCGUCUACAUGCAUGUUGUUGUUGCAACAUUUGAAAAGGAUACACCUUGUGUUGCAUCGUUGCACAUGCGGCAUGCAACUCAAACUAAAUUAACUUAGACGUUGAAAAUGCCGCGACAGCAGCAAAAGAACGCAUAUAUAUAUACAUACAUACAUACAUCUAUCAAGCAAAAAAAAAAUGUGUUGCAGUUGUUGUUGCCUUGCAUUGUUUGCUCCAGUGGCACAACAACUAGACAGACACUUGGGUAUAAUAAAUGUGUGCUAUAAAAGAGAAGAGCAACAAUAAACAACUGAGGAUGCACUUAUAAAAUAAAAAAAACAACAACAAAAACACUAAAAAAUAGAAAAGAGAAUAGCAAAAGUUUACCGUUAUUGCAAACGUAUACUAUGUUAGCAAAUGUUAAAAAAGUCGAACGCACGGCGAAAAAGUUUGCGCAAACAUAAUAACCGUGAAAUAACUAAAUAUACAUACAUACACACACAUACAUAUAUAUAUGUCAUGUAUAUGGAGUCAGUUUCCGCACAAAGUGUUCAUUUUUUCAGACUUUUUGUUGCUUUUCCUUGCGGUGUGCGUGUGUAUGUGUUUGUGGUGUGGUUUCGCUUGCGGUUGCUCUUGUGGCUGCGCGCUUGUAGUUGUUUGCCUUCCCGGCUGUCAGCAGCAGCCGGCACUGUCAGCAUGAAUUAACGUUAUGUCAUUUGUGAGAAUGUUGGAAUUUUUAGUUUUUCAUACGGUUUAAAUGACUGCCUUCCACUGGCAGUCGAGUGGAAGUGGAAAUAUUCUGUGCAUACACAAAUUUUAUAUACAAGCAUAUACUACAAAAUAUACGAAUACGAAUUUGUGAGGAGCACAAUAUAAAAAGAACUAAAGAGUGAAAAUUUCCCUUCCCCCUUACAAAGGUUAUGUUGAAAACCGACGUUAAGUCACUAACGAAAAAUACCAGAAGCACUAAGCUAUAUAUAAAAUAUGGCACAGAAAAUCUGCACUAUGGUUAGUAUAAAAAUUUAAGAAUAAGCGUGGCACCGCCCACUUCUGGGUCAAAAGUCAUAUACUAUCAGGAACCAAUCUACAGGUUAGAAACGAAUUUUCUACGUAAUAUUUCUUUAAGAAUUAAGAAUUGUGAUGUUACGGUUUGUAAAUGGCUGAAAUCGGUUGACAACCAAUCCUACCCUAUAACACAAUUUUAAAUUCCAUCUGAUUCGUUUACUUUACAAUAUAUAAAUCAAACAUCAAUGAAGAUAUCGGAAUAAAACUGUGAAGUUUCAUCAUCGCUCAUCGUCAACGGACUAUAACUUUUCCAGACCCUCGAUAUCAAAUACAAAAACCUGAGUUUCUGCGAUUAAUUUCUAACGGAAAACAUUUGUAAAUCUUUCAUACAUAUAUUUUAAAGAAAAUCAGAGAGUUUAUGUUAUUAUAUUGUCCUUACUUAUUAAUAUCAAAUCUCGUCCCAUUCUCGGUUUCAAAAAAUCGAUUUUUUUUUAUUUAAUUCGAACCUAUGACUAUA